UGAUGAUCUACCUCCGAGUGGGGAAUAACUUAGGGAAACCUGAGCUAAUACCGCAUAACACUUACGAGCCAAAGCAGCAAUGCGCUUGGAGAGGAGUUCGCGGCAGAUUAGCUAGUUGGCGGGGUAAUGGCCCACCAAGGCGAUGAUCUGUAUCCGGCCUGAGAGGGCGCACGGACACACUGGAACUGAAACACGGUCCAGACUCCUACGGGAGGCAGCAGUGGGGAAUAUUGGACAAUGGGCGCAAGCCUGAUCCAGCAAUGCCGCGUGAGUGAAGAAGGUCUUCGGAUUGUAAAGCUCUUUCGACGGGGACGAUGAUGACGGUACCCGUAGAAGAAGCCCCGGCUAACUUCGUGCCAGCAGCCGCGGUAAU
rnacentral:rRNA from 1 species